rnacentral:lncRNA from 1 species
UAGAAUUUUUAAAUAGGUUCUUGAGUAAAGAUAGUUUGGGGAAAUUAUAGUGAUGAUGAAAUGUUUACUUGAAAGUAUGAUUUUGUGGAAUAAGGUGUAAAAUUAAAUUGGUUAAAUUAUGAUUAUUAGUUUUACUAGUUUGAAAGAAGGAAUUAUUUUUAUGUUUGGAGUGAAGAUUAUUGUGAUGAAUUAGCUAUUAAGAAAUGGACUAGAAAGUGGAAUUAGUUUGAAGUGAUUAGAGGAAAUUGGGAAAAAUUAUUCUAGUAUCGAGAAGUCGAGUUUUAGUAUUCGAUUACUAAUAUUAGGAGAUACUUAGUAUGAGAGUUGUUAAAUUAGUUACUUUAUAUCGUAUUUUAGGUGGUGACGUGAAAGUUGGGCAAGGUUGGUAAAUUUAACCAGAUUGCAAUCCAUAGAUCUGUGAGUGGAGAACCUACUUUUCCAAAAAGAAGAUUUUCUUUUUAUUUUAUAGAAGCAUAUUAAUUACGUGAUAUGUCUUAUUUUCGAGAAAUUAGUAAAUGAGCAUGAUUAUUUUGAAAUCAUAAGAAAAUAACUAAUUUAAUUACCUUAAUACACUGAGGGGCUACAAUUGUGUGUAAAUGUAACUCUUAUCCACUGAGGGGGCUACGGCCAUGUGUAAGGGUAUCUAUUAUAUACUCAGGGG